AUGGAUUCGAACAACACUGACCCAGGUAUAUACAGGACAAUAGUUGCAUCAUACCACCGAGGAAACAGCUUUCACGGGAAUGUGGCUUACCUAGAGGAUGAGAAACAAGAAACGAGACUUCUACAAAGAUUGGGGACAUCUGGCCAUUUGCAUAGGCCUUGGAAUUUAGAGGCAGUGGAACGUUCACAGAUAGGUUCUGGCACCAAAUGUCCUGAAUUUGGAUUCUGGCUCCAUCACCUGAGGCUGGUCGUGACCAGAAGAAGAUUCCUAAGUAUCUCUGUGCCUCAGUUUUCACAUCGUCACUACAGAGAUAAUAAUAGCUCCCAUCUUAUCAGGUUUUUUUUUAGAAGAAUACAUACAUUUAUAUUUUUAAGUGUAUGAAAGAGAACAACAACCAAUAAUAAUGCUAGCUAACCCUGCUGCGGUUCUUCCAUAUGCAUUGGCUAAUGGAUGUUUGAUGACACAUUGAAAGCGUAAGCAAUACGUUAGCUGACUCUUUUUUUUUUUAAAUAUAUGAAAUUUAUUGUCAAAUUGGUUUCCAUACAACACCCAGUGCUCAUCCCAAAAGAUGCCCUCUUCAAUACCCAUCACCCACCCUCCCCUCCCUCCCACCCUCCAUCAACCCUCAGUUUGUUCUCAGUUUUUAAGAGUCUCUUAUGCUUUGGCUCUCUCCCACUCUAUCCUCUCUUUUUUUUUUUUUCCUUCCCCUCCCCCAUGGGUUUCUGUUAAGUUUCUCAGGAUCCGCAUAAGAGUGAAAACAUAUGCUAUCUGUCUUUCUCUGUAUGGCUUAUUUCACUUAGCAUCACAUUCUCCAGUUCCAUCCACGUCGCUACAAAGAGCCAUAUUUCAUUCUUUCUCAUUGCCACGUAGUACUCCAUUGUGAGCUGACUCUUCUUAAAACGUUUACACCUGAGAUUAUGGUUAAUGACCAUCUUUGAGAGAACAAAUAGAUGCUCUCUUCUACCACCCUUGAGCUUUAACAGCAUACUUACUGUAAAGCAAUAAGGCUUUGAAAUAGGAAUAGGCUUUGAAAUAGGAAUUUCUACACCUGAAAUACUUUGUACAUCGAAAUGGAUUAUUGAAGGAGGUAGCGGAAGUUCCCUCUUUGAAGAGAUUUAAAAAUGAGAUUGUUAAAGGUGAGAAAGAGGCUUUAGAAGCUGUUUAUAUCUGAAGGCCCACAGACCAAAGAUUAGACUAUCCGACUUUGCUCUACAAAUCAUCUUCAGCAACACAGAGAAGGCUGAAAGGACUUCGAUCCUAGAAGUGUUCCACCCCAUAUCCCGGGGCAUAUACUAGGGACACAGACCCACAUGUGGAUUCUUAAUAUCCGCAGUCAGAGCAGAACAUCAGGAUGGUGGAGGCUGGGGAGAUUCAUCCCUGAAUAAAGUGCAUCACGUGAUCGCA
rnacentral:lncRNA from 1 species